UAGGCUCCAAGUUGUUUUGUAACAUUAUGUGGUUUAUGUUGAACCACAUAGUUGUUACAUAACAUCGGGCCAAGUCGUGUUAUGAACUGUCUAUCUUCUUUCAGCUCGUCUUGAAGCACCCAAUUCGAAUCUAAUCUCAAGCAACUCACUUAACAUCUAAUCUCACUCACAAACAAAAACCCUAAAAAUUCUCUAAGCAAAAGAAGUCUGAGAGAAACAUUCGAGCAAGACGAGAGGCACCACCGCACCACCUUCGACGGCGAGAGGCACCACCUCCGAGGGGCUCCGACUGCAGCAGCAAGCCAGCAACGCACAAACGAGCGAAGAGCGAAGAACAGAAGGCCAGUGAAGAACAGAAGGCGAGCGAAGAGCGAGCAAACGGCAAUCAAUUUGGAGUAGCAUCAUGUCUAAACCAGCCCGAGAGCAUAUUAGCAGCCCUUGGGGAGCUCCACAGUAAUUGUUCCUGUUCUUUAUCUGUUUAGUUGUUCGUGUUUGUUUUUUGCCUUGAAUAAGAUCAUGCCCACUGUUUUGCCUUGAAUAAGAUCAUGUGAUUGAUGUAAAAUGUGAGUAUAUAUGGCUAUUGUAGUA